rnacentral:lncRNA from 1 species
CAUUGAGACAUGAGGAACAAGAGCGAGAGCUGCUCUUGUGCAGGGUCAUGGGGGGGGGGUGGUGGGGGCGUUUGAACCUAACCUAAGAUCCACGGGAAGCCCUGGAGGGUGUGCAGCAGAGGAAGUCUACAUGAACUCUGCAUACAUUUCCAAUGAACUUGAAACUUCCUCUUGGGACUAAGUAUACCCUUUCUCCAUGAACACAAAAGGCUGAUGGUGUGAUGCAACUAUGAACCCAAGUUCACUGCUUGUGAAUGGAAAAAGCCAGCAACUCAAGGAUAAGUUAUCAGGGAGGCGCUGUGAUAGCUCUCCAAGUAGAAGUGGAUGAUAAAUGUGACACCACAUCAACCUCCACAAACCCACUUCCUCUC